CCUAACCAGAAAGCCACGGCUAACUACGUGCCAGCAGCCGCGGUAAUACGUAGGUGGCAAGCGUUGUCCGGAAUUAUUGGGCGUAAAGCGCGCGCAGGCGGUCUUUUAAGUCUGAUGUGAAAGCCCACGGCUCAACCGUGGAGGGUCAUUGGAAACUGGAGGACUUGAGUGCAGAAGAGGAGAGUGGAAUUCCACGUGUAGCGGUGAAAUGCGUAGAUAUGUGGAGGAACACCAGUGGCGAAGGCGGCUCUCUGGUCUGUAACUGACGCUGAGGCGCGAAAGCGUGGGGAGCAAACAGGAUUAGAUACCCUGGUAGUCCACGCCGUAAACGAUGAGUGCUAGGUGUUGGGGGGUUCCACCCUCAGUGCUGAAGUUAACACAUUAAGCACUCCGCCUGGGGAGUACGACCGCAAGGUUGAAACUCAAAGGAAUUGACGGGGGCCCGCACAAGCAGUGGAGCAUGUGGUUUAAUUCGAAGCAACGCGAAGAACCUUACCAGGUCUUGACAUCCUCUGACAAUCCUGGAGACAGGACGUUCCCCUUCGGGGGACAGAGUGACAGGUGGUGCAUGGUUGUCGUCAGCUCGUGUCGUGAGAUGUUGGGUUAAGUCCCGCAACGAGCGCAACCCUUGAUCUUAGUUGCCAGCAUUCAGUUGGGCACUCUAAGGUGACUGCCGGUGACAAACCGGAGGAAGGUGGGGAUGACGUCAAAUCAUCAUGCCCCUUAUGACCUGGGCUACACACGUGCUACAAUGGACGGUACAAAGGGCAGCAACACCGCGAGGUGAAGCGAAUCCCAUAAAGCCGUUCUCAGUUCGGAUUGCAGGCUGCAACUCGCCUGCAUGAAGCCGGAAUUGCUAGUAAUCGC
rnacentral:rRNA from 1 species